rnacentral:rRNA from 1 species
GAGGUGCCGCGACGGGGUCCCCUAUUCCCGCUGCGGAGCCGGAGGGGGACGGUGAGAGGGGGUGAUUGGGAUCGGUCGGGGUCUAGGUGAAGGGGAGUAGAGCGAGUGUGCGAGGAAGAGGAGGUCGCUCCGGGCUGGCGACGAUACCAGCGGCCACACGUGGUGGCGCCGCUCGCGGCGGGGGUGAGGGGAAGCUGCACGGGUGCUGGGCGCGGUAGUAGCAGGUGUAGCGCACGCGAUGGCCUAGCGUCGGCUUCUCCUUGUGGUGGCGGCGGACGUAGAAGAAGGGGUUGAUGCCGUCGGCCCAGGAGCAGCAGCUAGGCGCAGUAGAGCAGGUGGGAUCGGGUCAUGCUCGAGAGGUGGCUGGAGGAGAGCUGGGGCACUACCAACGGCUACGGUGACACUAGCUGAUGCAGUAGCUGCCGGGGGAGGAAGAGCGGACUCGUUGGUCUACAGCCUCGGGUCCUCGGUCUACGGUAGCGGCUACGAAUGAUGAUGCACCUCCGGCGACUGCUGAUCCUCAUCAAUCCUCCGAGGGUCCGUCCUCCGGAACGGAAAAGCUAGCAUCUACGAAAACACGAUCGGAAGAAUUCCGUUUGAACAAAUUGAGUACAGACAUGAGUCUAUAACAACGAAGGCGACUGAGCAAACAUAAGCUCGAAUACAUAAACUCGGGAGCUCCGGGGACCGAACAUUAUAUUUCGAACAUAAUAAAAUUAAACACAGAGCUCAACACAACACUAUAGAAGGGCACUCAGGGACUAGAACUAGAAUGUGUAAACGCACAUACUAAUCACAUGCUAACUUAGCCCCCGCAGUGUGAACCUCAUCUGCGGUCCCUUCGAAGUUCCCUCGGUACUCCC